rnacentral:lncRNA from 1 species
AACAUCUUAAAACUUGAGGUGUCCUUUUUCCCUCUUUAAUUUGUAUGUCUUUUUCUAGGGGGUCAAGAAAUGAAAUGUUCACAUCAAGGGAGAUGCACAGCUUCUUGAGAAGAGGAUGUAUUCCUUAUGUACUUCCUCCCAGAGAGAGAGGGGUUCUGACCUAUGAUUUGGCAUAUGGAGAUGUUGGC